CGUAGGUGCGAGCGUUGUCCGGAUUACUGGCGUAAGAGCUCGUAGGUGGUUGUCGCGUCGUCUGUGAAUCCCGGGCUUAACUUCGGGCGUGCAGGCGAUACGGGCAUAACUUGAGUGCUGUAGGGAGACUGGAAUUCCUGGUGUAGCGGUGAAAUGCGCAGAUAUCAGGAGGAACACCAAUUGGCGAAGGCAGGUCUCUGGGGCAGUAACUGACGCUGAGGAGCGAAAGCAUGGGUAGCGAACAGGAUU
rnacentral:rRNA from 1 species